rnacentral:lncRNA from 1 species
ACGGUUUUGUAUGAUUGGUUGAUAAUUAGAUUUUACAAACGUUAGAGAAACUAAUUGCUGAUGGAUCAUCUCAGAGUAUUGCACGUAUGGUUGUAGAAGAUAUAAAAUCGACCAAGUCAAGACGAGAAGAGCGUGACUAUUUCAAAAUAUGAUUGGAAUAGCAAUUCGUUGGCAUAGCUUUAUUAUAAAAGAUUGGUGAACUUCCUUUGAGUUUGCUACCCCAGC